GACGAACGCUGGCGGCGUGCCUAAUACAUGCAAGUAGAACGCUGAAGGAGGAGCUUGCUUCUCUGGAUGAGUUGCGAACGGGUGAGUAACGCGUAGGUAACCUGCCUGGUAGCGGGGGAUAACUAUUGGAAACGAUAGCUAAUACCGCAUAAGAGUAGAUGUCGCAUGACAUUUGCUUAAAAGGUGCAAUUGCAUCACUACCAGAUGGACCUGCGUUGUAUUAGCUAGUUGGUGAGGUAACGGCUCACCAAGGCAACGAUGCAUAGCCGACCUGAGAGGGUGAUCGGCCACACUGGGACUGAGACACGGCCCAGACUCCUACGGGAGGCAGCAGUAGGGAAUCUUCGGCAAUGGACGGAAGUCUGACCGAGCAACGCCGCGUGAGUGAAGAAGGUUGUCGGAUCGUAAAGCUCUGUUGUAAGAGAAGAACGAGUGUGAGAGUGGAAAGUUCACACUGUGACGGUAUCUUACCAGAAAGGGACGGCUAACUACGUG
rnacentral:rRNA from 1 species